UGGGUACCUUGAAGAAGUGCUUGGCCAAG
rnacentral:piRNA from 1 species